GACUUAUGGCUCAGUGGUAGAGCAUCGGCAUGGUACGUCGAAGAUAUAGGGUUCAAUUCCCAAAAGAGUCA
rnacentral:tRNA from 1 species